UAAUACUUAAGAAUAUACCAUAAUUUCUCAACUUCUAUCAGUAGAACGCACAUACCUCCUGAAAUGUUUUUGCUGCUGAAUAUUAUAUCAAUAAUCCUGUGCAUUGUCGCUGACUACAAUGCAGUUUUUGGAAUACACCCACGAUGCUUAGAAGAACGUCAAGGUCAAGGGGGAAUUACCUGCUUUGCGUUAAUGAAAAGAUAUUUUUAUGACCAAACGAAAGAAAAGUGUGUUUCCUACACUUACGGUGGGUGUAACGAAGGGAGAAAUAGUUUCGGAAACCGAGAAGAGUGCAAAAAAUUCUGCUACGCCGAUAAUUGAAUGUCCUCGAAAAAUGUGAUAAGACCAUUCCAAAAUAAAUGAGGAUUGGAAACUAAA